rnacentral:lncRNA from 10 species
CUUACCCAGCUCUGAAGUCUGUCAGCCUCUUCAGAUGUCACUUGCCCUGUGGUAAGGAAGUGUAGUUGGCAGCUGGUGCAGUGGCAAGAAGAGAAAGGAGGUUCCCCAAGACAGAAAUAUCUCAGCAGACCGUGAUCAUGGGCUACAUUCUCCAUACCAGCUUCAUAGCUCCAGUGAGAAAAUAAAUUCCUGCACCCAGGAGACGUGGAGUAAGAGAUACAGCUGACCUUGACCACAUUUCUUACUUCCAAGAAGAUUGUAGCAAUAAUUCAGGAUUUCAUCCAGGAUACCUCAUCACAG